CCUUCGCUAUUGAAGUAUGUGAAAAGCCACUCUGCAUCUUUUUCCUAAGCUCCUUUUAAGUACUGUAAGGCUGCGAUGAGGUCUCGCUCCUCUCCCUCCCCACGGGUGCUUCCAAAUAGAGAGCGGUGCCUUCAGUGCGCCCAGAUUUGCUGAUUUUUGGCAUUGCUGAUGGAGGUCCUGUAGGGCGGUGCUGGGUGAGUGGGGCAACCUCAGCUUGGAUUGCAUGGGGAAAGCACAAAGCACUGCACGCCUUGUUUUGCUCCGCAAGAAGAGCUCAAGGAACUCCAAACAGGCUGCUAGGGAGCAGGAAGCCUCUUUUGAUGAAUAGCUGAGAGGAGUCAGGCCGUGUCAGGACUGAGAUACAGCGUGGCUCCCGGUGGGUUUGCAAAGCAGCAUUUGAUGGUGAAAUCCUGUCAGCGGUUGCUCAAACCACAGCUCCAAAGCAUUCUGCAAUCCCAGCCUUGCUGGAGCAGCAGUGGGUCAUUCCCUCCUGCAGUUCCCAGCUGAUGCACACCCCAAGAGGCUGGCAGGUAUUGGGAUAGGAUGCAUGGAGGCUGCUCAGGGAGGUUUUGCAUUCCAAAGGCCUUUUCCUGCCUGGGUUUUGCAGGCAGCAGGGGGAAGUUUGGGUGGAGGGACACAAACCUGUGGCUGGAGCACUGGGUUAUCAACAGGACCUGAGCCCCUGCAGCCAAAGUGCGUGAACCCAACAACACGAACUGCCCCAUCCAUGAUCCUUGCUGCCAUUUUGAGGCAGCUCACAUCUCUGUUUUCUACCCCUUUUCUGUAAAGACAUUGGAUGAGAGGAUCCCACUGUCUCUCAUGCACUCAGGCUUGAAGGCAAAGCAACAGCAUGAGGCCCUGCAGCGUGGCUCUCUGCAGAGCAAAACUACAGGGGGGCUUUUGCACCACUGGGAACAAUGCAGCUAUAAUAAAUUCUAUCAUGUUUAGGGGAAAAAAAGGGGCUGACUGUUUUGAUUUCCUAACGUAACAGAGUUUAUGCAAUCACACUGUAUAUCAGUGCAUUCCCAUUCUUCCAAAUUCCUCUCUUUAAAAACUCUUUAACCCUUUGGCCACUUUUAGCCCAAACCCAGCAGAGAGGUAUGGAGCUCAGAUCCUACAUUUGCAAUCAGUUGGGUAAAGAGUGACCCUGCCAGGGCUGCAGCUGUGAGAAACACCGACUCACGCUGCCAGCCCCUAUUAGACACCAGAGAAUCCGCACAGUGCUGACAUCUGAUUGAUGUCCAAACCGUGGGAAAAACUUCCCUGGGAGUUUGUGCCCUCCCAGGCACCCAGGUCGGUCCCCCAUGAGACACCAGCCUGCUGAAAACCAGGCUGCAAAUCCUGUAUCUCUCAGAGCUGUUUGUUUGCUUUUUAGUGCCAAGCUUCGGGGGGAGAGGGGAAGCAGCUUAGCAGAAGUCAUAGCCAGGAGGGCCAGUGCUGGCACUGAAAGCAGCACUGGGGCUGCAGCCCCAAAGCCUUUGGUACUGUGCAAGUCUCAUCUUGGAAGGAAUCACUGCAAAUUACUCUUUGCUGUGGGUAUUACAAGAUGUCAGGGUUUGGGGCACCAAUACUCCUUAAAGCCCUGAGCAGCCUCACCUGGGGGCCUCCAUCCACACCCUUUGCAGUCAGCCCAGGAGCCCUAUUUAAACUCAGCACAGAACUCUCUGCUGUUGUUGCAGCAGUGCUGAGGCUGGCUUGCUCCCAGCCCUGUCUGCCUAUGGGAUCCUGCUGAGCUUGACCCCAAUCUGGAAGCUGGCUUUGUGAUCUCAGCCCUACCUGGCCUCUCUGGAGCUGCUCAGCACCUGCUGGACCUGAUCCUGACUCCAGGGCUGGUUCAUUACUUGCCUUUUACUGGUUUGCCUCAUCGUUGCAAGCUUGCCUGGUGACCUUGAGGGCUCUUAGGUGAAUGUGGUGGUGAUUCCUGGAGCUGCCCUGUCCCACUCUGGAACUGGACCCUGGCUGGUGACAUCCCUUCUUGCCUCCUGCUUCUUCUGCCCUUGCUGCUCCUUUACACAGCCAAGACCAAAGGCAAUACCUGUGCGUAGCAAACUGCCUAGGAGCUGCUUUCCAUGCAGGGGAUUUAACCACACUACAGUCCUGUUCAUACAGUGAAAUUGUGAAGGAGACAGAAGCAGUGCAUAAGUCUUUUUACAGUUUACAGCUCAUUUAGCUGUGGAUUGUGCUGCCAGGUGCAGUAGUGGCAACAUUCCAUAUUACUUCUGUGGUUUUUCAUCUCAGCUUCUGAGGGAUGUGUGAACUUUCUCUCGAGCCCUCAUCACUGUUGGAGCAAUGGCUGAGCAGUCGUAAUGCAGUGUGUCAGGAAGAAGUCAGAAGAGGUAACAACAAAGGCAAAAUGGAGCUGGAUGGACUUCUCUUUUGGCUGAAAUCAAGGCAGGUGGUAUCUGCACAUCCAUGGCCUUUCCUUGACUACAAGAUGGGAAAAGCUCGGCCACAUCCAGGCUGCUCCCACCCAUCUGCUCUGAGAGUUCAGCAGUUUUACCAUCCAGGAGGAGCUGAGAGCUGCUCUGGAAGUCUUUUGUCUGUGGAUAUGAAGGUGGUUCUGUGUGCUCUCUGGAAGUCUGUAGAUGGACAGAACUGCUGGCACAGGAAACAACACCUUCUGAGAAUGAAAGCAAGCACAGUCUUUUCCAGCCCAAGACCUGGAAUAUAGAGACAUGCAGAAGCAUGGGUCCUUUCAGGAAUCAGAUGCCACUAAUGAUCAUUAGAAAGAUGGACUGGAAGAUCAAUGCUGACAGUUCCUGUGGCUGUGUGGGCAAUGAUAGGGUAACUGCAAGCAAAUGACAGCUAGCAUGCAUCCAUUGGUCUAGUUGUACAAACAACUGUGAUAUUUGUGUCUGAAAAUUUAUGAGCAAUUGGAUGCACAUACAGUUCUGCAGGACCAGGGGAGCAACAGUGCAACAGUGAGAGGCUGUUGUGUUUAGAGAGAUACCAAAUACUUCAUACUUAUAGUGCUAUUAUGGGCUACAACAAGAAUCUCAAAUAGGACAAAGGGCUUGCAAGGAGGCAUAACAAGAGAAAGCUUUAUGGAGAAUGUCUGAAUGCUGCCAAAAUGGUCACAGGUUGACAAUGCAGGAGAUCUGGCUCUAGGGUUCCUGGAUAUAAAAUGCUUGACCACACAACCUGAAGUGCUGAUCCCAUUGAAAAUCGUUCAAGAAAGUUCUGACAUUAGCUCUGUGUUGGUAGGCUUUAUGCCAGAUUAGAUAUUGUCUGUCUUCCCGCAGCCAGCAUAAACGCCACAUUAUGCAGUCUGGCUGAAACAUAAUUGUGUGCCCAGGCCUGAUCUGGAUUGAAUUUGUCAUGCUAAAUGAUCCAGUAGUGCUCAAACCUGUUACAAAUGACCACAGAAUCGUGGUCCAAACUUCCAUUCCAAAUUUCAUAUCUAACAUAAGGUAAGUUAGCCACAUGCAAAUGUCUAUGGGAACUGUUGGAAUGCUCUCCCUUAAUAUAACACCAAUAGAGAAUGCUCCCCCUCCCCCCAAAAAGCAGAGGAGAAAUUUGUACACGUAGGAAAAAAAUGCUUUUUAUUUCUUAAACUGACCCAGACUUACCUCAUCGUGGUUAUUUACACUGUUUGUUCAGGCCUUCUGCUAUAGGGGAAAAGAUUUAGGUCUUGUCCAUCUGAAAGCUCUGCAGCUAGAUAAGCUGCAAUAUGUUAAACGGGCUGGCCUG